CGUCAGUUCGUACUGUGAAGCAUCCUGUUAAGUCAGGCAACGAGCGAGACCCACGCCAACAGUUGCCAGCUCGUCCUCCGGGAUGGAGGGGACGACUGUUGGGACCGCCUCUGCUAAAGAGGAGGAAGGAAUGGGCAACGGUAGGUCAGCAUGCCCCGAAUUAAUUGGGCUACACGCGGGCUACAAUGGGUGGGACAAUGGGUAUCGACACCGAAAGGUGAAGGCAAUCUCCUAAACCCAUCCGUAGUUCGGAUUGUGGGCUGCAACUCGCCCACAUGAAGCUGGAAUCUGUAGUAAUCGUGUUUCAAAUAGCACGGUGAAUAUGUCCCUGCUCCUU
rnacentral:rRNA from 1 species